rnacentral:sRNA from 1 species
GCCAGGUGUGGUGGUGCACACCUGUAAUCCCAGCAGCUUGGGAGGCUGACACAGGAGGAUUGUGAGUUCAAAGGCAGCCUCAGCAAUUUAGUGAGGCCCUAAGCAACUCAGUGAGACCCUGUCUCUA